rnacentral:piRNA from 1 species
GGGGCACUUCCGUUCUUUGUUCUG